rnacentral:rRNA from 1 species
UUAAGCGACUAAGCGUACACGGUGGAUGCCCUGGCAGUCAGAGGCGAUGAAGGACGUGCUAAUCUGCGAUAAGCGUCGGUAAGGUGAUAUGAACCGUUAUAACCGGCGAUGUCCGAAUGGGGAAACCCAGUGUGUUCCGACACACUAUCAUUAACUGAAUCCAUAGGUUAAUGAGGCGAACCGGGGGAACUGAAACAUCUAAGUACCCCGAGGAAAAGAAAUCAACCGAGAUUCCCCCAGUAGCGGCGAGCGAACGGGGAGGAGCCCAGAGCCUGAAUCAGUGUGUGUGUUAGUGGAAGCGUCUGGAAAGGCGCGCGAUACAGGGUGACAGCCCCGUACACAAAAAUGCACAUGCUGUGAGCUCGAUGAGUAGGGCGGGACACGUGGUAUCCUGUCUGAAUAUGGGGGGACCAUCCUCCAAGGCUAAAUACUCCUGACUGACCGAUAGUGAACCAGUACCGUGAGGGAAAGGCGAAAAGAACCCCGGCGAGGGGAGUGAAAAAGAACCUGAAACCGUGUACGUACAAGCAGUGGGAGCCCUGAUUUAUCAGGGUGACUGCGUACCUUUUGUAUAAUGGGUCAGCGACUUAUAUUCUGUAGCAAGGUUAACCGAAUAGGGGAGCCGGAGGGAAACCGAGUCUUAACUGGGCGUUAAGUUGCAGGGUAUAGACCCGAAACCCGGUGAUCUAGCCAUGGGCAGGUUGAAGGUUGGGUAACACUAACUGGAGGACCGAACCGACUAAUGUUGAAAAAUUAGCGGAUGACUUGUGGCUGGGGGUGAAAGGCCAAUCAAACCGGGAGAUAGCUGGUUCUCCCCGAAAGCUAUUUAGGUAGCGCCUCGUGAAUUCAUCUCCGGGGGUAGAGCACUGUUUCGGCAAGGGGGUCAUCCCGACUUACCAACCCGAUGCAAACUGCGAAUACCGGAGAAUGUUAUCACGGGAGACACACGGCGGGUGCUAACGUCCGUCGUGAAGAGGGAAACAACCCAGACCGCCAGCUAAGGUCCCAAAGUCAUGGUUAAGUGGGAAACGAUGUGGGAAGGCCCAGACAGCCAGGAUGUUGGCUUAGAAGCAGCCAUCAUUUAAAGAAAGCGUAAUAGCUCACUGGUCGAGUCGGCCUGCGCGGAAGAUGUAACGGGGCUAAACCAUGCACCGAAGCUGCGGCAGCGACGCUGAUGCGUUGUUGGGUAGGGGAGCGUUCUGUAAGCCUGUGAAGGUGUGCUGUGAGGCAUGCUGGAGGUAUCAGAAGUGCGAAUGCUGACAUAAGUAACGAUAAAGCGGGUGAAAAGCCCGCUCGCCGGAAGACCAAGGGUUCCUGUCCAACGUUAAUCGGGGCAGGGUGAGUCGACCCCUAAGGCGAGGCCGAAAGGCGUAGUCGAUGGGAAACAGGUUAAUAUUCCUGUACUUGGUGUUACUGCGAAGGGGGGACGGAGAAGGCUAUGUUGGCCGGGCGACGGUUGUCCCGGUUUAAGCGUGUAGGCUGAUUUUCCAGGCAAAUCCGGAGAAUCAAGGCUGAGGCGUGAUGACGAGGCACUACGGUGCUGAAGCAACAAAUGCCCUGCUUCCAGGAAAAGCCUCUAAGCAUCAGGUAACAUCAAAUCGUACCCCAAACCGACACAGGUGGUCAGGUAGAGAAUACCAAGGCGCUUGAGAGAACUCGGGUGAAGGAACUAGGCAAAAUGGUGCCGUAACUUCGGGAGAAGGCACGCUGAUAUGUAGGUGAAGCGACUUGCUCGUGGAGCUGAAAUCAGUCGAAGAUACCAGCUGGCUGCAACUGUUUAUUAAAAACACAGCACUGUGCAAACACGAAAGUGGACGUAUACGGUGUGACGCCUGCCCGGUGCCGGAAGGUUAAUUGAUGGGGUCAGCGCAAGCGAAGCUCUUGAUCGAAGCCCCGGUAAACGGCGGCCGUAACUAUAACGGUCCUAAGGUAGCGAAAUUCCUUGUCGGGUAAGUUCCGACCUGCACGAAUGGCGUAAUGAUGGCCAGGCUGUCUCCACCCGAGACUCAGUGAAAUUGAACUCGCUGUGAAGAUGCAGUGUACCCGCGGCAAGACGGAAAGACCCCGUGAACCUUUACUAUAGCUUGACACUGAACACUGGUCCUUGAUGUGUAGGAUAGGUGGGAGGCUUUGAAGUGUGGACGCCAGUCUGCAUGGAGCCGUCCUUGAAAUACCACCCUUUAAUGGCUGGUGUUCUAACGUUGGCCCGUAAUCCGGGUUGCGGACAGUGUCUGGUGGGUAGUUUGACUGGGGCGGUCUCCUCCUAAAGAGUAACGGAGGAGCACGAAGGUUGGCUAAUCCUGGUCGGACAUCAGGAGGUUAGUGCAAUGGCAUAAGCCAGCUUGACUGCGAGCGUGACGGCGCGAGCAGGUGCGAAAGCAGGUCAUAGUGAUCCGGUGGUUCUGAAUGGAAGGGCCAUCGCUCAACGGAUAAAAGGUACUCCGGGAUAACAGGCUGAUACCGCCCAAGAGUUCAUAUCGACGGCGGUGUUUGGCACCUCGAUGUCGGCUCAUCACAUCCUGGGGCUGAAGUAGGUCCCAAGGGUAUGGCUGUUCGCCAUUUAAAGUGGUACGCGAGCUGGGUUUAGAACGUCGUGAGACAGUUCGGUCCCUAUCUGCCGUGGGCGCUGGAGAACUGAGGGGGGCUGCUCCUAGUACGAGAGGACCGGAGUGGACGCAUCACUGGUGUUCGGGUUGUCAUGCCAAUGGCACUGCCCGGUAGCUAAAUGCGGAAGAGAUAAGUGCUGAAAGCAUCUAAGCACGAAACUUGCCCCGAGAUGAGUUCUCCCUGAGACUUUAAGUCUCCUGAAGGAACGUUGAAGACGACGACGUUGAUAGGCCGGGUGUGUAAGCGCAGCGAUGCGUUGAGCUAACCGGUACUAAUGAACCGUGAGGCUUAACCUU